rnacentral:rRNA from 1 species
CGGGACACGUGGUAUCCUGUCUGAAUAUGGGGGGACCAUCCUCCAAGGCUAAAUACUCCUGACUGACCGAUAGUGAACCAGUACCGUGAGGGAAAGGCGAAAAGAACCCCGGCGAGGGGAGUGAAAAAGAACCUGAAACCGUGUACGUACAAGCAGUGGGAGCACGCUUAGGCGUGUGACUGCGUACCUUUUGUAUAAUGGGUCAGCGACUUAUAUUCUGUAGCAAGGUUAACCGAAUAGGGGAGCCGAAGGGAAACCGAGUCUUAACUGGGCGUUAAGUUGCAGGGUAUAGACCCGAAACCCGGUGAUCUAGCCAUGGGCAGGUUGAAGGUUGGGUAACACUAACUGGAGGACCGAACCGACUAAUGUUGAAAAAUUAGCGGAUGACUUGUGGCUGGGGGUGAAAGGCCAAUCAAACCGGGAGAUAGCUGGUUCUCCCCGAAAGCUAUUUAGGUAGCGCCUCGUGAAUUCAUCUCCGGGGGUAGAGCACUGUUUCGGCAAGGGGGUCAUCCCGACUUACCAACCCGAUGCAAACUGCGAAUACCGGAGAAUGUUAUCACGGGAGACACACGGCGGGUGCUAACGUCCGUCGUGAAGAGGGAAACAACCCAGACCGCCAGCUAAGGUCCCAAAGUCAUGGUUAAGUGGGAAACGAUGUGGGAAGGCCCAGACAGCCAGGAUGUUGGCUUAGAAGCAGCCAUCAUUUAAAGAAAGCGUAAUAGCUCACUGGUCGAGUCGGCCUGCGCGGAAGAUGUAACGGGGCUAAACCAUGCACCGAAGCUGCGGCAGCGACGCUGAUGCGUUGUUGGGUAGGGGAGCGUUCUGUAAGCCUGUGAAGGUGUGCUGUGAGGCAUGCUGGAGGUAUCAGAAGUGCGAAUGCUGACAUAAGUAACGAUAAAGCGGGUGAAAAGCCCGCUCGCCGGAAGACCAAGGGUUCCUGUCCAACGUUAAUCGGGGCAGGGUGAGUCGACCCCUAAGGCGAGGCCGAAAGGCGUAGUCGAUGGGAAACAGGUUAAUAUUCCUGUACUUGGUGUUACUGCGAAGGGGGGACGGAGAAGGCUAUGUUGGCCGGGCGACGGUUGUCCCGGUUUAAGCGUGUAGGCUGGUUUUCCAGGCAAAUCCGGAAAAUCAAGGCUGAGGCGUGAUGACGAGGCACUACGGUGCUGAAGCAACAAAUGCCCUGCUUCCAGGAAAAGCCUCUAAGCAUCAGGUAACAUCAAAUCGUACCCCAAACCGACACAGGUGGUCAGGUAGAGAAUACCAAGGCGCUUGAGAGAACUCGGGUGAAGGAACUAGGCAAAAUGGUGCCGUAACUUCGGGAGAAGGCACGCUGAUAUGUAGGUGAAGCGACUUGCUCGUGGAGCUGAAAUCAGUCGAAGAUACCAGCUGGCUGCAACUGUUUAUUAAAAACACAGCACUGUGCAAACACGAAAGUGGACGUAUACGGUGUGACGCCUGCCCGGUGCCGGAAGGUUAAUUGAUGGGGUCAGCGCAAGCGAAGCUCUUGAUCGAAGCCCCGGUAAACGGCGGCCGUAACUAUAACGGUCCUAAGGUAGCGAAAUUCCUUGUCGGGUAAGUUCCGACCUGCACGAAUGGCGUAAUGAUGGCCAGGCUGUCUCCACCCGAGACUCAGUGAAAUUGAACUCGCUGUGAAGAUGCAGUGUACCCGCGGCAAGACGGAAAGACCCCGUGAACCUUUACUAUAGCUUGACACUGAACAUUGAGCCUUGAUGUGUAGGAUAGGUGGGAGGCUUUGAAGUGUGGACGCCAGUCUGCAUGGAGCCGGCCUUGAAAUACCACCCUUUAAUGUUUGAUGUUCUAACGUUGACCCGUGAUCCGGGUUGCGGACAGUGUCUGGUGGGUAGUUUGACUGGGGCGGUCUCCUCCUAAAGAGUAACGGAGGAGCACGAAGGUUGGCUAAUCCUGGUCGGACAUCAGGAGGUUAGUGCAAUGGCAUAAGCCAGCUUGACUGCGAGCGUGACGGCGCGAGCAGGUGCGAAAGCAGGUCAUAGUGAUCCGGUGGUUCUGAAUGGAAGGGCCAUCGCUCAACGGAUAAAAGGUACUCCGGGGAUAACAGGCUGAUACCGCCCAAGAGUUCAU